UGGUUUGGAACGUGGUGAGACAUUUCGGUCCCUAUCUGCCGUGGGCGCUGGAGAAUUGAGGGGGGCUGCUCCUAGUACGAGAGGACCGGAGUGGACGCAUCACUGGUGUUCGGGUUGUCAUGCCAAUGGCAUUGCCCGGUAGCUAAAUGCGGAAGAGAUAAGUGCUGAAAGCAUCUAAGCACGAAACUUGCCCCGAGAUGAGUUCUCCCUGACUCCUUGAGAGUCCUGAAGGAACGUUAAAGACGAUGACGUUGAUAGGUCGGGUGUGUAAGUGUAGCGAUACAUUGAGCUAACCGAUACUAAUGAACCGUGAGGCUUAACCUUACAACGCCGAAG
rnacentral:rRNA from 1 species